rnacentral:misc_RNA from 1 species
CUCAUCGACACCUCCAUUACCAGCCGCGUGACCGCUUCUCAAAACGCGCAUCGACGAGAAGCCAUCGUCUUUGGCCUUUGCCUUCCGCCCCCCCCCCCACAUCCCCUUUUUAACGCGCUCCUCAAUCAAAGAAUUACGCAGCUGCCCACGAUGCCGGCAGCGAGUCGCAUCCACUACCGCUCCAUCGGCACAGCGGCUGUUGCGAUUGCGGGGUUGCCGACAGUGUGGAACAUGGUUGCCCGUAAUGAGUACCGCCGUCACACGAUCGAGAAGGCGGCGGGUGGCAAGAGGUUGGGCGCCUACGCCUUGGCGGCCGCCAUCGUUGCCGCCAGCGGUGCGCGCGACUACGCGUUUCGCAACGCUAUGGCGCAGAACCCGUGCCCGCUCCUCCCUAUCCUCUGCACGCAAGCCCUUGGUCCUGAAAACGCAGGUGUCGUGCGCGGCGUCAUGAGGGGCGUCGGCGCUGCACUGAUGGCGACAGGCACGACGCUUGUCGUAUCGUCGUUCCUCCGACUCGGCAUCACGGGUACGUAUCUCGGCGACUACUUUGGCAUCUUGAUGGACGAGCGCGUAACGGCCUUUCCCUUUAGCCACUUCGACAACCCCAUGUACCUCGGCGCCACGCUAAACUUCCUGGCCGCCUCCAUUGCCCAAAACAACGCCGUCGGGACACUGCUGACAGGCUUGGUGGGGCUGGUGUAUCAUGUAUCGGCCAAAUACUUUGAGAACCCCUUCACUGAAAUGAUCUACCGAAAGCGCGCGGAGGAACGGGCAGCCGCUGGCGUAUCUGCCUCGGUGAGGAAGCAGUAAGCAAGCACGGUUUAUCGUGGACUCCUGGAAUUACCUUUUUUUUUUUUGGUUGCUCGAGUGCGCCGAGCGCCGUGCGUGUACCGUCUGUCAUCCGUAUCACAUGUCGACCCAGUG